rnacentral:rRNA from 1 species
UAAUACGGAGGGUGCAAGCGUUAAUCGGAAUUACUGGGCGUAAAGCGAGUGUAGGUGGUUGCAUAAGUCGGAUGUGAAAGCCCUGGGCUUAACCUGGGAAUUGCAUUCGAUACUGUGUGACUAGAGUCUGAUAGAGGGAAGUGGAAUUCCAGGUGUAGCGGUGAAAUGCGUAGAUAUCUGGAGGAACAUCAGUGGCGAAGGCGGCUUCCUGGAUCAAGACUGACACUGAGGCUCGAAAGCGUGGGGAGCAAACAGG